rnacentral:rRNA from 1 species
UACAGAGGGUGCGAGCGUUAAUCGGAAUUACUGGGCGUAAAGCGCGCGUAGACGGUUUUGUAAGUCAGAUGUGAAAUCCCUGGGCUCAACCUGGGAACUGCAUUUGAGACUGCAUGGCUAGAGUAUGGAAGAGGGAAGUGGAAUUUCCGGUGUAGCGGUGAAAUGCGUAGAUAUCGGAAGGAAGACCAGUGGCGAAGGCGGGUCUCUGGACAGUUCCUGACGCUGAGGCACGAAGGCCAGGGGAGCAAACGGG